GUAGUUUUUGUAAUGUGGUGUUAUGUAAAGCCUCUGCUCAAAUGCAAUUGUAAGAUCUGUAACUUGUAUCAUUAAGUUCUGCAACCUUUUUGCAGACUUUGUAACUUCAGUUAUUGUUAGCAUAGCAUUUUAAGUUUUGUAACCUUUGCAAGCUUUGUAACCUUUUCAGUUACCACUUGU